rnacentral:rRNA from 1 species
AGUACUAUAUAAUAGUUAAAACUUUCAACAACGGAUCUCUUGGUUCUGGCAUCGAUGAAGAACGCAGCGAAAUGCGAUAAGUAAUGUGAAUUGCAGAAUUCAGUGAAUCAUCGAAUCUUUGAACGCACAUUGCGCCCCUUGGUAUUCCGGGGGGCAUGCCUGUUCGAGCGUCAUUUCAACCCUCAAGCUUAGCUUGGUAUUGAGUCUAUGUCAGCAAUGGCAGGCUCUAAAAUCAGUGGCGGCGCCGCUGGGUCCUGAACGUAGUAAUAUCUCUCGUUACAGGUUCUCGGUGUGCUUCUGCCAAAACCCAAAUUUUUCUAUGGUUGACCUCGGAUCAGGUAGGGAUACCCGCUGAACUUAAGCAUAUCAAUAAGCGGAGGA